UAAAGUCGUCAGGCCUGCGUUCUAGGACUAGCUGCUAGAUUUCCAGCGUCCUGAAGGUGAGAACGGAUGGAGCAGGGAUGCGUUCAGUAUCCCGGCGGUCGGAAUCUUGACAGCUGCAUCCCAACAUUCUGAAUACUGACGGAUCCCGAUGGAAGCAAAGCGAGCUGCUCAGCAGAGAGUGACCUGCAGAAUAAAACGCUCUGAAGCGGACGCUUGUCUUUGUAGAAGUCCUUCUAUUCUUCUCAACUACACAAUAUAUCGCUUCUUAGCAGUGGUAUUUUAAGGCAGGCUCAAUAAGAAAGACCAAGUAUAAGAAACCCUAGGAGUGUUCAGUGAUCUAUUAUAGCAUUACUUUUUAAUGACCAGCGUACAGAUGGAAGAAUAUGUACUAUUCUGACAUGUUAAAAAUGGUGGGAGAUAUUUUUAGAGUUUUAAAAAUUGCACUUAUCAGAUAUUCUAAAACAACGUUGUUCAAUCCUUUGUUGCCCUGAGCUACUAACAUAUUCCAAGGGCAAUAACUCUAAAGCCAGUAACCCAGUUGUCAUUGGAAUAUCUAUAAUGGAUGAAGAGUGUGCGGUGCACACAGGACCCUGGGUCCAGGGGGGUCCACACUGCACAUCCUGCACCCAUAUAAUUAUAGUUACCCGUCUGCAGUCCCGUGGCGGCCGGCUCUGUAGACAUAAAUCACCAGGGAAAUGGUGCAGUGGCCAUUUUCCCAGUGAUUUGCACAUGUGCAGUAGAUAUGGGGGGGUUUUGAGUAUCUGUAAGACUUCCCUGACUGUCCACAAUUGGAACUCUGCCCCCUCAUUGUUUAAACCCAUGAUUCACGGGUGUCAUUUUGCCUCGGGGACGGUUUUCCAAUUACGCCAACUACAAAAGGCUUGUAAAUCGCCAGCCAAAAGAAGGCUCCGUUAACUUCCUGGAGCAGCUAGGCAGUGAGCAGUCACAGACACAGUGGAGUGUAGAGAGGACCAGGGCUGCCCCUCCACUGUGCCUGGCAUGCUGUGAGUGUUGACAUGGAGACACACAGCCUCUCACAUUACCAUCUGUAAUGAGGUCAGUCGGCCCCUGCGUCUACCCCACAUAUAGUAUAUCAGCCAGUGUCAUCGUGUAAUAACAGCGGCACUUUGACCCUUUCCUCCAGCUGCACAGGCCCAGCUAGUCCCUAUCUGAGAAUGUAGUUGUGUAGCACUUAACAGCCACUCUCACUCACGGCAGCAGAAGUGCUGAUCUGACAGCAUGAGCCAAUAGGAUCCGGGUAUCUGCAGUGCUGGUGACACAGGUGAGUUGACGCAGCUCUCAGUGUCUGCUCUACCUGGCUGUUGCAGCCUCAGUACGGUGCAAUACACAUGUGUAAGAAUGGUCACUAGUGACGCAGUCACACCUGCCUCUGAUUGACUCUCUGCUGCGCACACAACGCUAUGUAUCAGAAGCUCUAUUACUCUGCAUCUACCAUUUACCUUGGUCCACUCCAUUCCAAUGAACUUGCCCAGUCUGUCACUGAGAGCCAAUCACUGUGCUCUGUGCAAAGGACCAAUCCCAGUGGAUCUACCACUUCUUUGCCUGAGUGCUGACUGACUGUAAUGCUACUGUGUGGCGUAAGUUGUAUUGGGGGCACAAUUGUGUGACCAUGCCUCUUCACACCCCUUUUUGCAUCGAGCACGGAUUAUAGAAUUUAUCCCAUAAAGGGGCGCCAAAAUAUUUAUUCACUUACCAAAAAAAUGAAGCUCAGGCCGGCCCUUCCACUUCAUUUAAAAGUGACUGACUUGCAAUAUUGCGGUGGAUUAUGGUGGCAGACAACAGUAAAUAUAUAUAUACAUACACAUACAUACAUACAUACAUACAUACACAUUCUCCAACAGGGUCGGGGAUACAUUUUUAAUAUGUGCGGUGCACCAUGGCCCUCAUUCAGAUCCCAAAGGAUCUGUGGCACAUGCCGCAAAGUAGUGAUGCUUGGUAAUUUGCUCAUGUACAGUACGGGUCUGCAAUAGCGGACGCAGGACGGAAGCAGACUAUCAGUGAUUGACAGUCUUAUGCCGUUUAGGAGUGGGGAGCGAUGCUCUCAGUUUCUUAAAAUGGAGGCAUUUUGCCAGCAUUGCAGGUAUGCAGGAGCAAAUCCGGAAGGGGGCAGCUUGGUCGACACAUAGGGGAUGUGGCCAGAAGAUAGGUGGGCUGUCCAGGGGCGUGGUGGCACGACCACGUCAUCGUGGCCUGCCCCCCGUUCUACAGUGUCGAGAAAGUAGGCACUGUGUAGUGGGGGGCGGGGCUAUGAUGAUGCGAUUCACCACAAAUCUCUUCAUCAGGUCCCCCGGUCCAACCACAUGCACUCUAUUGUAGGAGGCCCUGGGGAGAAGCGUGGGGCUGUAGCAGGUAUGCAGGAGCCUUCCGGGGGUCGGGAGCGGCACCCGAUUUUCAGGAGCCUCCCGGCCAUUCCGAGAGGGUAGGCAAGUAUGCCCUAACACAGUAUUAAAACUAUCAUGUGCAGUAAAGUAUGUUUACAGUUUGAACUUCUAUCUUCAUCAUACAGUCAUUUAGGUCCUGCGAUUGCUCCUAAUUUAUGCCCACAUCCAGACGUGUAGCUAGGUGCCAUGGUGCCCGGAGCAAGGGCAUGUUUUGGUGCCCCCCUCCCCUAUACUGAAUAUUGAAUUGGGGGCCUAGCCAACAUGUGGUGGCAUGUUACAUUUGAAAAGAAAUAAUAUUGAAAAAUCCUAAAUUGGUGACAAGGGUGGUUGUAGACCUUGUGGAGCUCAUGGCAAUCUGAUAAUCUCCCAAUGCCUCAAUUGAAAUAAUGCCCCAAAUGUGACCCCCCACAGACCCAACCCCCCCUAAACUCUCAAUGAUAAUGCUGCAUCAAAAUUGCCCCCCCCCCCCACACACACACACACACUAUUUCAUAGUCCCCAAUGCCUUAACACUAGAACUGAUGUCCCAGACCUGAUAAUCCCACUAUGCUUCAAUGAAAAUAAUGUCCCAGAAUUUCCUGAGAGGCAGAGAGAGGUGCUGCAGCAGCCUGAGGGACAGAGAGAGGUGCUGCAGCAGCCUGAGGGGCAGAGAGAGGUGCUGGAACAGAGAGACGUGCUGCAACAACAAUGUAGAGAGAAGUGCUGCAGCAGCCGGGACACAGAGAUGCCACAGCAGCCUGGGCAGGACAGAAGUAACCCUGCUGCACAGCUACAAGCAGACAGUGAGACAUAUAAAGAGGGUGGGCAGAGCUGGCUGUCAGUGUCUCCUGCUGUCGCCUCUGGCCUGCCCUGCUCCCUACCUAGUAUCCAAGUCAAUGUGCGCCCCCUGCUUCUCCUGUUCUGCGGCUGCCAGUACAGUGGCCGGCGGGAAGGGUGUGGGCGGCAGCGCGCCCUCUAACUUUUUCGGCGCCCGGAGCUCGCACUCCACUCGAGCCACCCUCGCUACACCCCUGCCCACAUCCCCCUUAUUCGACAGAAGCUAUGAGGGUUAGCACAAGUUGUAGCUCCACUGUUUUAUUAGAGGACCGAUCUUGCAGAUUUGUUCAGGUCUAUUUAUGAAGCAGUGAUAACUCAUUUCAAUGGCAAGAAACAGAAAAAAGGGUUAUCACUGUUUGCUCCUAUAAAUCACAGAUUUCACUUGUGGCGAUCUGACAAUAUGUAUUACAAAUAUAUCACUUUUAUUGCUUUUUAUACUCGAGCAUACAGGAAAUAAAUAUGUAAUAAAUAUUUUUGUCCUGAAUUAUCACUGUAAUGGCAGAGCUAUUUGUUGAUAUGUAAUGAGACUUGUAGAAGCCAAAGUUA